AAGAAGAUAGCUCUUGCUCUCUCAAAGUCUUAACCUGGAGGCGAGUGGGAAGUUGUCACCCACCCAGUAGGUGUGGCAAGGUGCAGGACAGGCUCCUAGAAUCAAGGGUGCUCCCAUGGCUGUCCCCACCUGUACUCCAGAAUGUGGGGUGAGAGGGGUUUCCAGCCCCCAAGCGGGGAAGCACGACAGCAUGAUUCUAAGAGAAUGACAUUGACCACUCCACAAAUUAUUGAACUCAGUCAACAUCUGCUGAGUACUUACUGUGUGCCCUAGGCCAGAACUGUAGAGACAGAAUCCAGGCGAGGACUUUCAUCCCCUGUGCACCCCACAUCUGGUGCAAUAGAAAAAGGAGGGGUGUGUGGAGGAGGGGUCAGGGGGUCAUCAGGGAAGCUGUGAGAGUUAGCAGGGGUGUGAGGCUAUGGGGCACAGGGGGUUCUCUACACUUUGAACAAGGACAGCAGGCCUUUCUGAAGAUGAGGAAUUGAAACUGAGCCAUCUUGCUGGCCCAACCUUACGUUUUAAGACAGAACUCUCACUAAAUGUGGCAGAGAAAAACAGAGUUCACCACAUAGGACCUCUGAGACCCUCACUUUAUCUCCAAGAACAAGGACCUCAGCCAAGCAGACAGGCAGAUGCAUGGGCUAGCAAGGGCUGGACGUACAGCCUCCUCCUGGGUACGGUGUGGGUGGUAUUAGGUCUGCCAGGGAUACAGCCGUGUCCAGGUAGCCACUCUGCACUCCUAGGUGCCCUCCCCACCAGGAAGAUCUACAGAGCCUUAGAGAUCUCCCUUGUGGGCAGUUUGAACCAAAACCCUGAACACAAAUGGAUGUGAGUGGGCUUUGCAGGCAGGAGCUGCCUGCCUGAGUCACUUUCCAUUCAUGUCCAGGUACAGUGCAUACAAGUGGCUCUGUGGGCCAUUGCUGGCUGUCAGCCCUGAGGACGCUCCUGGUUUGUCCCCAAGGUACCCAUGAACAAGGUCCUCCUUAGCAAUGUGUCAUGCAUAUAGGACUUUGAUUUAAAAAGUAGAUGCUUUAGCACAAAUCUACACAUGACUGUCUAACCACUGUAAAGGUCAUGCAGGUGUCCCUAUGGCCCCCAAGAGGGACUCCACCUUUUUUAGCCAAAUCCUUCUCCAGUCUUUGCCUUUCUGACCCCUGACUUCACCAAUGCCAUCUCUCCAAGAGGCCUUGUGAACCCAUGGUUAGCGCUGUGGACCAACAAAGGCUUCCUGACUCCCUCCCUCCUUCCUUCCCUCCCUCCCUC
rnacentral:lncRNA from 1 species